AUAAACAUACUUACUUCAACUUUACAUUACUCCUAGGAUGUACGAGAAAUUAGUAUGAUUAACAGCCAAGAAGCCUGAGAGAAUUCUGAAAACUAGAAGCAAAGAUGAAAAGGAAGCACAACAGGUACAGAAGAGAAUGAAGACAUUCUCUGCUUCAAAACUUGUCAGUUUUGCCUACUUGUGAGUGCCACUAAAGGCCUAUGAAACCCUUCCACUGUGUGACACUAAUGUUGUAUGGGGGCCUUAUAUCCAAAGUUCAACAACUGACAGUGAUUGCUCUGGACCAGGAUCUACAUCACCCCACCUCAUGCAUGCCAAAAGUAUUCUCACAGACUCACACAACUAAGAAUGAAGGUAGAGUGGUGGACUGGGAAGAACAUCAAAUUCAUAGUCUUACAAUGAUUUAUUAGAAGU
ensembl:lncRNA TBL1XR1-AS1 TBL1XR1 antisense RNA 1